CGCCCCCAGCUGACGCCGACGCCCCCGCUCUCCAUCUUCCCGUCCAGCGCUGCCGCACCGGUCGCCUCCGCCUCCGCGAUCCGCACGUACUGCCGUGUCCAUCGUCGCCGUCAAUCGCCGCAGCACUGGUCCACGCCGUCCCCGCCGCUCCGGUCCUAGCCGCCGUCCCGCCGCUCCGGUCCUAGCCGCCGUCCCGCCGCUCCGUUCCCAGCCACCGUCCCGCCGCUCUGUUCCCAGCCGCCGUCCCCGCAGCUAUCCAUCGCUGCAGACAGACUUGUAGAUUGUGGUGUUCUCAAGAGGGCAAUUGAAAUAGUUUAUGGUGCAACAUUGCCUAAAGCAUCAAAACCAUUUGUGUAUAUGUCAAUCAUUUUACCCCUGAGCAUGUUGAUGUGAAUGUACGCCCCACAAAGAGAGAGAUUGACUGGGAGGAUGAAAAGACUUGUUUUCAAUCAAUUUCUGCUGCUCUGGUAUAAGAAUUAAACUGCAGUUCUGAUACAUUUCUAAAAUACUGAUCAUUGUUCUUGAAUCUUGACAAUAAAAAAAUGAUGCUACAAGUAGUACUAGUGAGCCUGAAGGUGCGAAACAAAAUAUUUUUCUUGAUCUGCCUGGAUUGGAAUAAGCUUGUCUUUUCCUGUUUUCUUGUUGUGCAGUAAAGCAACUUUUUAAAGCUGGAAUAUAAGUGUUUUUUCCUUGUUGACAGUAAUUGAAAGGCCACAUGAAUCUCUAACUGAUGUGUGGGGAUCAUUUUCCUAACUGGCUGCUUUAGAUUGAUAUUAUGGUACUCAUAAAUGAGUGCUAACAUACAAAAAUAUGAGGAGGCAUGCACUGAUAGGUACAUUUUCAUCAAGUUCCAUACGCUGCUUCUUACUUUUGUUGACCUAAUUAUUUCAGGUAUUAUAGUUGAUUUAUUUUCUGAUGCAAAAGUUUUGCCUCAGCUGCAAGAGGGAAAACCGAGUGCCAUAGUAGUGUGUUGGAUUCUUGGACUUGGAACUCUGGUAUCUUGGAGUAGCUUACUGACAAUAGGAGAUUACUAUUAUCAAUUGUUUCCCAAAUACCAUCCUUCUAGGGUGCUUCCCCUGGUGUAUCAACCAUUUGCAAUUGGAACAAUUGCAAUU